rnacentral:piRNA from 1 species
UUUGUAGAUGUGUCGCUUCCAUGUC